CCUACGGGUGGCAGCAGUGGGGGAUAUUGCACAAUGGGGGGAACCCUGAUGCAGCGACGCCGCGUGGGUGAAGGAGCGUUUCGGCGCGUAAAGCCCUAUCGGCAGGGAAGAAGGAGGACGGUACCUGACUAAGAAGCCCCGGCUAACUACGUGCCAGCAGCCGCGGUAAUACGUAGGGGGCAAGCGUUAUCCGGAUUUACUGGGUGUAAAGGGGGCGCAGACGGCAGCGCAAGCCAGGAGUGAAAGCCCGGGGCCCAACCCCGGGACUGCUCUUGGAACUGCGCGGCUGGAGUGCAGGAGGGGCAGGCGGAAUUCCUGGUGUAGCGGUGAAAUGCUUAGAUAUGACGAAGAACCCCGAUUGCGAAGGCAGCUUGCUGCAGCGGAACUGACGCUGAUGCUCGAAAGCGCGGGUAUCGAACAGGAUUAGAUACCCCUGUAGUC
rnacentral:rRNA from 1 species